rnacentral:lncRNA from 1 species
AAUCUUUGUCAAACCGAGGAGAACAAGACGCUGGUCAGGAAUUCCGGAAAAGCUUUAGAGGAUGUAACGACGAAAUUAAUCUCAUUGCAUCAAAGAUUCACGAAUUACGCAUCAACAACACGGGCCCGAUCUGGAGGCGCCGAAAGAAUUGUGCUACAAGCCGGGCGCAACCACAUCGCACAGAAAUUCUACAUCAGAACAUCUCUCCACUUCAUGACAAUUCACGAGACAGACAGAACAGAUCCAAUAUGCCGCUGGGCCGGUAUCCGGAUCCGAACUACUAUUUCUUGCCGGCGGCGUUCUUCUUGGCGUCGUCGGCCCCCUGCGUGGCUUGCGCCGCCUUCUUGGCUGUCUUCUCCUGCAGCGCCUUGGCGUCCCUCUCUCGUCGCUGCUCCGGCGUGAGCCCGUCGUCGCGGCCCUUGGCCCCCGGCUUCCGCGCCUGCGCCCUCUGCCUGUCCCGCUCCCUCUGGUCGCCGCGUGCAGCCGCCAGCAAGGUCAAGGAACAACACGUACAGAUCCAACCAAAACACACACGCACACGGUAACAGAUAAAGUAAUAAUCCGGCCAAUUCUAGACAAGAAUCAACGAAAAUUAGAUGAACAGAGAAGGCAAUUUUAUUCGCGGUGAAGGAUAUGAGUCAUCGCUGCUCCGAGAUCGAGAGAUUUGGGGGACGGGAGAAAGAUUGAUGGAAAGAGGGAGGGCGCUGGUCGGGUCGGGUCGGGUCGUAGUAUAAUUGUUGUUGGCUUGGAUCGUGAGGUCGAGACGGGGGUGGGGCGUGUGGCGCUGUAUAUGUAGG